UUCAACCAGGUUGUGCUGAAGAGGUUGUAA
rnacentral:piRNA from 1 species